GAUGAAGAACGUAGCGAAAUGCGAUAAGUAGUGUGAAUUGCAGAAUUCAGUGAAUCAUCGAAUCUUUGAACGCACAUUGCGCCCAUUAGUAUUCUAGUGGGCAUGCCUGUUCGAGCGUCAUUUCAACCCUUAAGCCUCUGUUGCUUAGCGUUGGGAGCCUACCUACCCGGUAGAUCCUCAAAGUUAGCUGGCAGGGUCGAGGUUCGCCCUAAGCGUAGUAGUUCUUUCUCGCUUCUGCGGCUGCCUAGGCCAUCGCCACAAGCCUUUUAAACUUCAAUGGUUGACCUCGGAUCAGGUAGGAAUACCCGCUGAACUUAAGCAUAUCAAUAAGCGGAGGA
rnacentral:misc_RNA from 1 species